rnacentral:tRNA from 2 species
GCCCAGGUGGCGAAAUCGGUAGACGCAGGGGACUCAAAAUCCCCCGCCGCAAGGCGUGUCGGUUCGAGUCCGACCCUGGGCACCA